rnacentral:rRNA from 1 species
UUGUGCCAGCAGCCGCGGUAAUUCCAGCUCCAAUAGCGUAUAUUAAAGUUGUUGUGGUUAAAAAGCUCGUAGUUGAACCUUGGGCCUGGCUGGCCGGUCCGCCUCACCGCGUGCACUGGUCCGGCCGGGCCUUUCCCUCUGUGGAACCCCAUACCCUUCACUGGGCGUGGCGGGGAAACAGGACAUUUACUUUGAAAAAAUUAGAGUGCUCCAGGCAGGCCUAUGCUCGAAUACAUUAGCAUGGAAUAAUAAAAUAGGACGCGCGGUUCUAUUUUGUUGGUUUAUAGGACCGCCGUAAUGAUUAAUAGGGACAGUCGGGGGCAUCAGUAUUCAGCUGUCAGAGGUGAAAUUCUUGGAUCAGUUGAAGACUAACUACUGCGAAAGCAUUUGCCAAGGAUGUUUUCAUUAAUCAGGAACGAAAGUUAGGGGAUCGAAGACGAUCAGAUGCCGUCGUAGUCUUAACCAUAAACUAUGCCGACUAGGGAUCGGACGGCGUUAUUCAUGACCCGUUCGGCACCUUACGAGAAAUCAAAGUGCUUGGGCUCCAGGGGGAGUAUGGUCGCAAGGCUGAAACUUAAAGAAAUUGACGGAAGGGCACCACCAGGGGUGGAGCCUGCGCUUAAUUUGACUCAACACGGGGAAACUCACCAGGUCCAGACACAAUAAGGAUUGACAGAUUGAGAGCUCUUUCUGAUUUUGUGGUGGUGGUGCAUGGCCCGUUCUUAGUGGUGGGUGACUUGUCUGCUUAAUUGCGAUAACGAACGAAGACU